rnacentral:rRNA from 1 species
UACGGGGGGGGGCAAGCGUUGUUCGGAAUUACUGGGCGUAAAGGGCUCGUAGGCGGCCAACUAAGUCGGAUGUGAAAUCCCCAGGCUUAACCUGGGAACUGCAUCCGAUACUGGAUGGCUUGAAUCCGGGAGAGGGAUGCAGAAUUCCAGGUGUAGCGGUGAAAUGCGUAGAUAUCUGGAGGAAUACCGGUGGCGAAGGCGGCAUCCUGGACCGGCAUUGACGCUGAGGAGCGAAAGCUAGGGAAGCAAACGGG